rnacentral:rRNA from 1 species
GACGAACGCUGGCGGCGUGCUUAACACAUGCAAGUCGAACGGAAAGGCCCUGCUUUUGUUGGGUGCUCGAGUGGCGAACGGGUGAGUAACACGUGAGUAACCUGCCCUUGACUUUGGGAUAACUUCAGGAAACUGGGGCUAAUACCGGAUAGGAGCUCCUGCUGCAUGGUGGGGGUUGGAAAGUUUCGGCGGUUGGGGAUGGACUCGCGGCUUAUCAGCUUGUUGGUGGGGUAGUGGCUUACCAAGGCCUUGACGGGUAGCCGGCCUGAGAGGGUGACCGGCCACAUUGGGACUGAGAUACGGCCCAGACUCCUACGGGAGGCAGCAGUGGGGAAUAAUGCACAAUGGGCGGAAGCCUGAUGCAGCAACGCCGCGUGCGGGAUGACGGCCUUCGGGUUGUAAACCGCUUUCGCCUGUGACGAAGCGUGAGUGACGGUAAUGGGUAAAGAAGCACCGGCUAACUACGUG